rnacentral:ncRNA from 1 species
CCCGCUUCGGCGGGACGACAUGUGGCCGGUUCGACCGGCUGAAUCGCAAG